GGUCAUGUGGCCUAGUGGUCAUGGCAUCUUCCCGGUAAGCGGAAGGUCGUGGGUUCGAUUCCCAUCCCUUGAAACUUUUUCA
rnacentral:tRNA from 1 species